rnacentral:misc_RNA from 1 species
AAGUCGUAACAAGGUUUCCGUUGGUGAACCUGCGGAAGGAUCAUUAUUGAAAUAAACCUGAUGGGUUGUUGCUGGUUCUCUAGGGAGCAUGUGCACGCCUUGUCAUUUUUAUAUCUCCACCUGUGCGCCUUUUGUAGGCCUUUUAGGUCUAUGUUGCUUUUUCAUUUACCCCAAUGUAUGUUUAUAGAAUGUUGUGCAUAUAAAAUCUAUACAA